rnacentral:lncRNA from 1 species
GUGAGUCAUACCUGUCAAAACUCCUUCUAACUCAGUGAAUUAUUAUCUCUGUAAUAAUUCACUCGACUCAUCGACUACGGACGUACUAGGCCACUACGCCGUAGUCCCCAGACGAUACAGGGGAAUCCAAUCCAUUAGACCUGUCUGUCCUCAAUUACUAUGUACCUAUAGUCCCUCAUCCAUCUAAUAUCCCAGAGACCGUAUAUCGAGCAUGGUGCUGUCAGACCCAUACGGUUUCUACUCGAGUCUCGCUCUAAUCGGAUUCUCCCGGAGAACUCUUUCUCUCUCAACCCGAAUGACCCUGGCCAGGGAUUUGUCUGAGCAAGAACACAUGGGAUAUUCCUCUCAUGACGCCGAGAGUGGAUGAUCCUCUGUCGACACUCAAUAGCCCUCAUAAGGUUGACUACCACUCCCAAUGACCAGCUGUACUAGAUCUGGGACAACCAAACCUAUAAGUCUG